rnacentral:rRNA from 1 species
GACGAACGCUGGCGGCGUGCCUAAUACAUGCAAGUCGAACGAGUGGCGGACGGGUGAUUCAUGUCUGGGAAACUGCCUGAUGGAGGGGGAUAACUACUGGAAACGGUAGCUAAUACCGCAUACCAUCGGAUGUGCCCAGAUGGGAUUAGCUAGUAGGGGGGGUAAAGGCUCACCUAGGCGACGAUCCCUAGCUGGUCUGAGAGGAUGACCAGCCACACUGGAACUGAGACACGGUCCAGACUCCUACGGGAGGCAGCAGUGGGGAAUAUUGCACAAUGGGCGCAAGCCUGAUGCAGCCAUGCCGCGUGUAUGAAGAAGGCCUUCGGGUUGUAAAGUACUUUCAGCGGGGAGGCGUUACCGACAGAAGAAGCACCGGCUAACUCCGUGCCAGCAGCCGCGGUAAUAC